AUUGAACGCUGGCGGCAUGCUUUACACAUGCAAGUCGAACGGUAACAGGCCGCAAGGUGCUGACGAGUGGCGAACGGGUGAGUAAUGCAUCGGAACGUGCCCAGUCGUGGGGGAUAACGCAGCGAAAGCUGCGCUAAUACCGCAUACGAUCUAUGGAUGAAAGCGGGGGACCGUAAGGCCUCGCGCGAUUGGAGCGACCGAUGUCAGAUUAGGUAGUUGGUGGGGUAAAGGCUCACCAAGCCAACGAUCUGUAGCUGGUCUGAGAGGACGACCAGCCACACUGGGACUGAGACACGGCCCAGACUCCUACGGGAGGCAGCAGUGGGGAAUUUUGGACAAUGGGCGCAAGCCUGAUCCAGCAAUGCCGCGUGCAGGAAGAAGGCCUUCGGGUUGUAAACUGCUUUUGUACGGAACGAAACGGCUCUCUCUAAUACAGGGGGCUAAUGACGGUACCGUAAGAAUAAGCACCGGCUAACUACGUGCCAGCAGCCGCGGUAAGAC
rnacentral:rRNA from 1 species